rnacentral:rRNA from 1 species
GACGAACGCUGGCGGCGUGCUUAACACAUGCAAGUCGAACGGAAAGGCCCGGCUUUUGUGGGGUGCUCGAGUGGCGAACGGGUGAGUAACACGUGAGUAACCUGCCCUUGACUUUGGGAUAACUUCAGGAAACUGGGGCUAAUACCGGAUAGGAGCUCCUGCUGCAUGGUGGGGGUUGGAAAGUUUCGGCGGUUGGGGAUGGACUCGCGGCGUAUCAGCUUGUUGGUGGGGUAGUGGCUUACCAAGGCCUUGACGGGUAGCCGGCCUGAGAGGGUGACCGGCCACAUUGGGCCUGGGAUACGGCCCAGACUCCUACGGGAGGCAGCAGUGGGGAAUAUUGCACAAUGGGCGGAGCCCUGAUGCAGCCCCGCCGCGUGCGGGAUGACGUCCUUCGGGUUGUAUUCCGCUUCCGCCUGUGACGAAGCGUGAGUGACGGUAAUGGGUAAAGAAGCACCGGCUAACUACGUG